ensembl:lncRNA
GCUGGGUGCUGAGUUGGGACUCUCUUCUGGGGUUUAAUGAGGCUUCACAGAGCCUGGGCCGGAGCUGACUCUCCAGGCACCUGGGCACUCUCUAUCACACUCCGUUUUGGGACAAGAGAAAGAGACUCUUUGGGGCCAUUUCACAUCUCCCUCCCCACCUUUCCCAGGUAGGACUGGGAAAAAGCCCUGUUUCCAGCCGGCAGAGAGGAUGCCUGGCCCUCCUCUGUCCAUGAACCAGCUGAAGAAGCCUUUUGCCCUCUGUGCCUGGGGAAUGCAGCCCUUUCCUGAGAGCACGGUGGGGUGUUGAUGCUGGAAGAGCCAAGCGGCCGCCACAUUUUGGUGAGGAAUUCUGGGGUCCUGUGCCUUUGGGAUCAUAUACUUCCAUCUCCGAUUGUGAAUGUUGUGAGUUGCUCAGAUGCCCAGAAAGGGGACUUGCAUUCAAAGUGAAAGUGGGUGCAUUCUAUCGGGACAGGAGGGUUGGGAAGAGUGCUGGACUCCCAUCCCAGGCAGACUGGUGAACAGCCAGGCUUGGACCUGCCUCCUGUUUCAGCUUGCAGACUCAGCCCUAAGCUCAAGGCACUGUGAACAUCCCCACUCCAGUCUGUUCUCUAAAGUUUCUGGUCUUCCUGAAGUGUCCGAACCAAGGAGGCUGAGCUCCGGCUUUUAUCCACAUCCACCCUGAUCCUGGGUUUGUUCGGACCAAUGUCAGACACGGCUGGAGGCCAAGGUCAAGUUGAAAGUUGCAGUCUAGCCAUGCCAGACCCGGAAAAACGAAAACACUGCUCUGAGAGCCCCCACCAGCCGUCGCCUGUGCCAGCUCACCUCUGGCCAUGGCAUGGCGCAGCUGCCUGCCGGUGCACACCGCAGCCAAGGCCAGCUCCACAUUCUUCCCUCACUCUCCCCAAUUCGCCGGAGACCAAGCUCUGAAUGCAGAGGAAAGGUCCCAGCUCCACAGACUGCCAAAGCCAACUGGGUCCCUCCUCACCAAAAAUGCCUCCUCAGAAGAGCCCACAGAAACACGGGAAGGCCCAAGGGGAAUCUCUUGCUGCUGGAAAUGACACUGCAUGGGACUCAGAAUCCAGAGAUGGUGAG